AGGGUUCGAGUGUGAGCAU
rnacentral:snRNA from 1 species